rnacentral:rRNA from 1 species
GACGAACCGUGCGAACGUUGUUCGGAAUCACUGGGCGUAAAGGGUGCGUAGGUGGUUUGUUAAGUCUGCUGUGAAAUCCCCGGGCUCAACCUGGGAAUGGCAGUGGAUACUGGCAAGCUAGAGUGCGGUAGAGGGUAGUGGAAUUCCCGGUGUAGCGGUGAAAUGCGUAGAGAUCGGGAGGAACACCUGUGGCGAAAGCGGCUCACUGGACCACAACUGACGCUGAGGCGCGAAAGCUAGGGGAGCAAACAGG